UACGUAGGGUGCGAGCGUUGUCCGGAUUUAUUAGGCGUAAAGAGCUCGUAGGCGGUUUGUUGCGUCGGCUGUGAAACCCCGAGGCUCAACCUCGGGUCUGCAGUCGAUACGAGCAAACUAGAGUGUUGCAGGGGAGACUGGAAUUCCUGGUGUAGCGGUGAAAUGCGCAGAUAUCAGGAGGAACACCGGUGGCGAAGGCGGGUCUCUGGGCAACAACUGACGCUGAGGAGCGAAAGCGUGGGGAGCGAACAGG
rnacentral:rRNA from 1 species